GACGAACGCUGGCGGCGUGCUUAACACAUGCAAGUCGAACGAUGAAGCCUAGCUUGCUAGGUGGAUUAGUGGCGAACGGGUGAGUAAUACGUGAGUAACCUACCUUUAACUCUGGGAUAAGCCCGGGAAACUGGGUCUAAUACCGGAUACGACCAAUCUCCGCAUGGGGUGUUGGUGGAAAGCGUUAUGUAGUGGUUAUAGAUGGGCUCACGGCCUAUCAGCUUGUUGGUGAGGUAACGGCUCACCAAGGCGACGACGGGUAGCCGGCCGGAGAGGGUGACCGGCCACACUGGGACUGAGACACGGCCCAGACUCCUACGGGAGGCAGCAGUGGGGAAUAUUGCACAAUGGGCGCAAGCCUGAUGCAGCGACGCCGCGUGAGGGAUGACGGCCUUCGGGUUGUAAACCUCUGUUAGCAGGGAAGAAGAGAGAUUGACGGUACCUGCAGAGAAAGCGCCGGCUAACUACGUG
rnacentral:rRNA from 1 species